rnacentral:tRNA from 1 species
GGAAGGGUGGCAGAGUGGUCUAUUGCAGCGGUCUUGAAAACCGCAGGCCUCGCAAGGGGUCCGGGGGUUCGAAUCCCUCCCCUUCCG